AGCAGUAGCCACGGUAAUACGGAGGGAGCUAGCGUUGUUCGGAAUUACUGGGCGUAAAGCGCACGUAGGCGGUUAUUCAAGUCAGAGGUGAAAGCCCGGGGCUCAACCCCGGAACUGCCUUUGAAAUUAGAUGACUGGAAUCUUGGAGAGGUCAGUGGAAUUCCGAGUGUAGAGGUGAAAUUCGUAGAUAUUCGGAAGAACACCAGUGGCGAAGGCGACUGACUGGACAAGUAUUGACGCUGAGGUGCGAAAGCGUGGGGAGCAAACAGGAUUAGAUACCCCCGUAGUCCCUGUCUCUUAUAC
rnacentral:rRNA from 1 species